GGGCCGGUAGCUCAGCUCGGAAGAGCAUCCGCCUUUUAAGCGGAUGGUCGCGGGUUCAAAAAUAGUGGGCUUUCGCCCAUUGUUGAACGUCCCGUCCGGCCCG
rnacentral:tRNA from 1 species